ensembl:misc_RNA 7SK 7SK RNA
GGGUGUCAAGGCAAUCUGACUGUGAUAUAUGUUACCCCACUGACUCCCAGGGUUGAUCUGGCAGAUCUGGCUGGCUAGAUGGGCAUCCCUUUCCUCCAUGGUUACUCCAUGUGUCUCUCCCAAAGCUGCACGGUCCAUUGUGGAGGUGACCAUUCUUCCAUCAAGGGUAUAUGAUUAGUUGCACUGCCCUGCUAGGAAGUUUUCGAAGGAAGCUAUUUAAGAGUUAGUCUAGUAAGACAUUUGAGCUGUUGCACUCCCUCAAGACCUGAUACAGACAUC